rnacentral:misc_RNA from 1 species
UGAAUUCACACUAGACUCAUUAUAUAAUCAGAGAAAAUCGCUGUUACUAUCUGCCACCAUUCAGCAAAUUCUCUGCUGUGAAAAAACAUCACUAUCGCAAAAUUGAGUUCCAAAAAAAUAACACAACCAAUUCAAUNNNGAAAAACCUUAAAUGCGAGAGUACCCAGUGUUCGUGGGGCUCCCCACGACCGAAAACAACCUUCCAUCUCCCACAUCUUGCUCAUCCAAAUACAAAUCGUCCGUUCCUCUAAUUGCAGCGUGUAAGACAACAAUUGCAAGCCCAAUCAAUAUGGAAACCAAAACGUUCAACCACACGCGCGUCAAAACCAAGGCCACAAUAGUGACAACCGCGAGCACGCCUAGCACCACACGAUCAUCAAUCGUGCGGUGGAGAAUAACAAGGGGCUCG